rnacentral:rRNA from 1 species
CCUACGGGAGGCAGCAGUAGGGAAUAUUGCUCAAUGGGGGCAACCCUGAAGCAGCAACGCCGCGUGGAGGAUGAAGGUUUUCGGAUUAUAAACUCCUUUUGUUAGAGAAGAUAAUGACGGUAUCUAACGAAUAAGCACCGGCUAACACCGUGCCAGCAGCCGCUGUAAUACGGCGGGUGCAAGCGUUACGCGGAAUCACUGGGCGUAAAGAGCGCGUAGGCGGGAUAGCUAGUCAGAUGUGAAAUCCUAUGGCUUAACAAGAGAACUGCAGGUGAAACUGAUAUUCUAGAGUAUGGGGGAGGUAGGUGGAAUGCGUGGUGUAGGGGUAAAAUCCGUAGAGAUCAAGAGGAAUACUCAUGGAGAAGGCGACCUGCUAGAACAUAACUGACGCUGAUGCGCGAAAGCGUGGGGAGCAAACAGGAUUAGAUACCCGAGUAGUC